rnacentral:misc_RNA from 1 species
AGAGACUAGGUUAACUUUUCACCUAAUUAAUAGAUAUGCCUUUUUGAUGGGUUAAAUGUUAACCUUGAGGGGACUAGGUUAGUAAUUACCGUCUUUAAAAGUUAAAAUUUGUAAGGGUAAUAUUUAACCCAUGAUUUUUUAACUUUCUAUCAAACACAUCCUUAGAGUUAAUCUUACUUUGUCUCUUUCUGAUCUUACAGUACUCUCAGCAGCCCUUUUGUGG